CGGACGGGUGAGUAAUGUCUGGGAAACUGCCCGAUGGAGGGGGAUAACUACUGGAAACGGUAGCUAAUACCGCAUAACGUCGCAAGACCAAAGAAGGGGGCGUUCGGGCCUCUUGCCAUCGGAUGUGCCCAUAUGGGAUUAGCUUGUAGGUAAGGUAACGGCUUACCUAGGCGACGAUCCCUAGCUGGUCUGAGAGGAUGAUCAGCCACACUGGGACUGAGACACGGCCCAG
rnacentral:rRNA from 1 species